AUUGAACGCUGGCGGCAUGCCUUACACAUGCAAGUCGAACGGCAGCACGGGGCAACCUGGUGGCGAGUGGCGAACGGGUGAGUAAUGCAUCGGAACGUACCUUUCAGUGGGGGAUAACGUAGCGAAAGUUACGCUAAUACCGCAUAUUCUGUGAGCAGGAAAGCAGGGGAUCGCAAGACCUUGCGCUGAUUGAGCGGCCGAUGUCAGAUUAGCUAGUUGGUGAGGUAAAGGCUCACCAAGGCGACGAUCUGUAGCGGGUCUGAGAGGAUGAUCCGCCACACUGGAACUGAGACACGGUCCAGACUCCUACGGGAGGCAGCAGUGGGGAAUUUUGGACAAUGGGGGCAACCCUGAUCCAGCCAUGCCGCGUGAGUGAAGAAGGCCUUCGGGUUGUAAAGCUCUUUUGGCCGGGAAGAAAUCGCACGGGCUAAUACCCUGUGUGGAUGACGGUACCGGAAUAAGAAGCACCGGCUAACCACGUGCCAGCAGCCGCAGUAACAC
rnacentral:rRNA from 1 species